AUAGCAAAAAUAAAUGAACUGAGCAUUUAAGGAAAAAACAAAAAGGUUUAAAAUUCAAGAUUGUCUUUACUGUCUCAGACUUAUUGUUUUGUUUACAUACACGUGUUUUGAGGUGCUUGAAUAUACACGUGAACUUUCCAUCUUCUGAUUUCAGGGCUUCACACGAGCUGAUUGGACGUCUGUGUCACGUGGUGGUUGUUUGGCAUGGAGGACUUCUGACACAUGAUGCAAGAAAUCAUCUGCAAGUAAGCAAUUUUCUGCUAAAAUUUUUGUGAGGGGUGCUUGUAAGGGGAUGGUGAAGGUGGAUCAGGUCAAGCGAGUAAAUGAAGUUAAAGACAGCCAGUCGGGAUGAAGAAACCCAUGGGAGGAGCUGACACAAGUACGAUGAAUGCUGUCUGAUACAAUCUACCAUCUUUCAAGGUAUUUGUUUGGAAGAAAUAUUUGGUAACCCAGACUACAAGAUCAGACAAUCAGGUGCAGUUUCCUAGAUUAGAGAAGCAAGCUUGCCUUUGUCACUCAGAGCAGCCAGAUAUUCCAGUUCAGAACCUCGCUAAUUUUGGAAGCAUGUGGCGAAAUCCCAAGAUAGAUUACCAAAGCACAAGCAGAAAUUCAUUCUCAUUUGAACACAACACUGAAACAAGAGAGGGAAUCCAUGAAUUGCUCUUGGAGGUCCGUUUAUUAAUCCAGCACAAAUCUUAUUAUGAGUGAGCUGGUAACGGGAUGAUUAAUUCACAAAAUAAGCAGAAUAAGACCCAAGCAAACAAAGCUUUUCAGGAUGGGAUAUCUUCAAAAGAGAUGUUUAAGCUAAUGGCUGAACUAGUAGAAAAGCACUUUAAAGAGAAAUUGACAAAUCACUGACAAGAAUUACAUUACCAGAGCUUGGGUGAAAUCUUUCUCAAUAUCUAAAGCAUGCAACUUGGACUAAGGUCAAGCCAGGUGAGUACACUGUUAAAUCUGUAGUAUAUCUAAAAAUCUCUUAAAUGAAUCAUCAGGUAUGGAGUGAGCCUAAAAUACUUGGCUGCACCACUCUAACAGGUGAGGCAAAACACCUGUGACUUGCACAAUCAGACAUGGAAUGGGUCUGGACAAAGCCUCCAGCAGGCAGAUAACAGUACAUUUAACUUUAACAUGUUUAAUUGAAACAAAAAGUCUACACCAUGGAUGAGCAAGAAAUUCUGAACAGUAAAGAGACAAACUGUUUACUUCAAGGGUUCGGCAACAUUGUUUUUCAAUUACUGUAAUCUUGAGCGUAAGGAUUUCACAUGCACCAGUAGAACUAAAUAGCACAGGCCAACAUUGCUGACACUGAAAACAAAAAGGUAGACUACGGGGUCUUUAAAAAAUUCUGUGGAGUAGCUGUGCUUAUAUAACUGGCAUAUACACUAACACUAGUGUGAAUGUUAGGAAAGUGGAACAAGGAGUCAUGGGGGUGGGAAGAGCUUUGGCUGGCAUCUCAUACUUUGGUUCAGAAUUGAUGACUGCCCCUGGCAGAUUGUAUCUUGUUUUUUGUAAAGCACUAUGUCUUUAAAAGGUUACCUUUAUUAUUAUUAUAUCUCGACACCACAAGGAGCUCAUUGUUGUGCAUGAUCAAGUCUCCAAAUGGUCUCUAAAAUCAUGACCAGAUGACAUUCUGCACGAACAGCCGGAUAUGCUGUCUACAUUUGCACUUAUUUUUGUGAAAAUUUAAACAAGAAAAUCUACCGAUUAACAUCAUCAGCUGUAUGUCUAUGUGUUUAUCUAUAUAAAAGAGAGAAAAUAUAUAUAUAUUUAUAAAUUGCUUGUAUAUAUAUUUAUGUGCAUUAUACACAUUUUAAAAGGUAAAAUACACAGAUGAAACAAAGCAUAUUGUUAUGCAAGACAGACAGAGAACUGAAAGAAUACAUUUAUAAUCAUGUCCUGUAUACAUGGACUAUUUAUAGACAUUAGGUAAGCUAAGAAAUUUCAUAUGCACAGACAGGUAGGGGAAUAUAUUAUAUAUACACACCAGAGGACCAAACAAAAGGUGCUGCCAUUCACAUGAAGGAAAGAAAAAGGUUGACAGUUAAAUUAUGAGACAGAAUAGACAACAUAACAUGGAGGAAAGAUAUAAGAUCUGAAGUUUUCCAGAAACCGGGAUUGAAAACUCAGCCACUAGGGCUGCCAAGUAUGAAAAGGUCGCCAUCUAGUCAUAUUCAUGUGAGUAUAGGUUAAGAAGGUCUUAAGAAAUUUCAUAAAAAAAAAUUGUGAAUGCUGUCUGUAUUCUUUGUUAACUCGUCCUGUACUCAGAAACCCAUUGAAUGACAUCAGUUAUACAGCAAGCGAUAAGAUGGGAACUACAGGGACACAUUUGGCAGAUAAGGGAUAAUUAUCCCAGGGUCAAGUAACACUUCCCUCUUUUAAUUAGACCACAGGUCUCAUUCAGAGCUUGAUUUUGAUGUGUGUCCGCAAAUGACCUACACUAAUCGACAGAUCUUUCCCCUCGUCCUGCGAUUCCAUGUGAAUCAGCUGCUUAGUACAACCAGCAUUUCUCUUUAGUUUGAAUCUGCUCAAGCACUUUCCUCUGGGAAGUUUACCGUCUGUGACUACAGUGAAUGAGAAGACUAAAUGGAAACUGACAAGUCAGUCAUGAAAAGGGGAAGAGGGAAAUGGUUAGAGUUGGUUUGGGAUUUUGUCUUUGUCUUUCUGAAAUGUAUGUCUUCAUUACAUAGAGGAAGAGAAUGAAGGCAUAGAAAGUGGGGCAGAAAAAGAAACGAGCAAAUUUACUCCCAUUAUUAAAGAUUACAGCAAAUGAAAGGCCUAGUUACUUUCUGCUCUUCAGAAGUUUUCCUGUUGUUUUUAUUAAUGUGAAUACUGGUGAAAUUUCAAAGAAAAACCUUUAGUCUGUGUAAGGAGGCACAUUUUAGUGUGUGGGUCACAUAUUUACAGGGAAAAGGAAAACCUGAUAACAAGUCCUUCCUCUCCAGUAGUUUUAAAAAAAGCAUGUAUGUCAACAUGUUCAUAUUAAAAUACAUUAAUUAAAAGGUUAAAGCAUUGACUUUGGUGCAGCGAGAACAAUCUACCAUCAAGUAACAAUAGCUAACAAUAAUCUCAGCACAAGUACACUUGUAAGUACAUCUUUAUUGGUGAUGGUUGAGCUUACGAAAAUGGCAUGUUACUAUAUUUUAAAAAUUGUUCCAGUAUUGGUCUUUCAACCAUGUUUGACACACAAAAUUCACACGAAGUUGCAGUUUACUGUGUGAGUAGGGUGUUUUCAAAGCAGUUUGUUUAACAAAAGGAUUGUGUAUUGUUCAUUAAAUGGUGAUAGGCAUAGCACAAGGUUGUUAUUCACACUGAGGAAAUGUUCAGAGCUAAGCUUUAUACAUGCAAAACAUCAAAGAAAAUCACAGCUUUUUAAAUAUUGUUGUGCAUGUUUAGAUAAAAAAAAGUCUGCUCUUAAUUUUGAGAACAAGUUGUGCUGCAAAAGUUGAAAGAAUCCUUCAUCUGUUCACAAUGAUGAACUGGUUCACUUUACCUGACUUGACACUUAGCACAUAGUGGUGCACACCUUUACAAUACAGAAUACCGGGAAAGGUGUUGCACCAUUCCGAGCACAUUUGUGAUUCUGCACAAGGACUCUUCAAUGUUGCUGACAUUCUGAAUGUUGUUAAGAUUAUCCUUUACAAGGGGUUAAGCCUUCUGUGAAUCGGUCUCAUUGGACAUCAGUUCUUUUUAACAUGGUAACUUUGUAAUCUGUCCUAAAUGUUCAGUAAUUGUUUGCAUCUCAGCUUUUUUCCUUGUAUUUAGUCAUUUCAGCAGCUUUUCACAGUUGACCCAAAACAACUGAACAAAAACUGAAAAAGAAAAAAUGAUAUCUUGGAACAUCUGAGGUGAAGAGAACUUGAAAUCUCAAAAGGACUUCAAAAACAUCUGUACUUUUGAAAAGUGAAUAAUCUGAUGUGCAAGAAACUAAGUCUUAGACUUUACAUUGUUAGCGACAGUUCCGAUGAAGGAAGAAUCGAGAGGAGUUAAGAAUAGAAAAUGCACGUUGUUUUUGAAACAUUCAUGGUAUUUGAUUAUGGCAGUAGCAUAAAGAAGUCCUGCAAGACCUAAAUGAGGUCCUGUUAGAACAUGAACAUAAAUGUGAUCACGCAACUAUCAAAAGUCAUGUGACUGUAACAAAUGCUGGUUUUCUUUUUUAUUACAACAUGACAAGAGGUGUACAUUACAACAACAAAAAAAGUUGACUACUCAGAUAUACCCAGCCAAAGAAACUUUCAGAGAUUAAGCUCCUAACAACAUGCAAUACUGAGGCUGUUGUGUGUACUUAUAUCUGCAAUUGUUGAUAAAAGUGCAUGCACACACAAACACAAGUCUUGAAAUGAUUUUUUUACUGCGAGGAGUAAGUGCACAUUGCAGUUAGUGUGGUUUUGUUAGAAUCCAUCAGAGCUUCAUGCAUGGAUGUAUGGAGAUAUGUCCAUAACACGAGAAUAAAAUAUGCACAAACAGCAAUGAGCAAGAACAUCUAAGGAAUAAAGAUAUAUCCGCAGAUGUGCUCCUCCCUGUGAGCUCAGAAAAAGGGACAGCACUCAACAAGGGCCAGCAGGGUGGACUUGGCAAACUAGCAAUGGUUCAGGCAGCACUAGGAAAGUAUUUUUCAGCAUAACAAAUUACACACCACUCCAGUGGAGGAAGGUUUGACCACAGGGACACAGACUUCAAGUUACCCUCUGUUAUAAGGCAUUGUGGCCAUAGCAACCAGUGACUAAAGAUGUGCCUGCUUUUAACAUUAAGAAGUGCUUCAUGCCUACGAGUAAGUGUAAUUGUCAUUUUCAGACAACCUGCACUUGACUGAGAUAACAACACAAGAAAGCAAGAAUUUGUGCAGGCACAUGCAUAAACACAUGUAGAGUGUAAGAAUUGUGCAUUUACAAGGUUGAAAAUUGUUUGUCUCAAACAUAUAUAUAUAUACAUAUGCAUAUGAACAGGUACUUCUAAACAUAUGGUUUUCAACACACAGGUAACUUAGUACAUACAGCUGCAUGCCGACUUGUAAAUGCUGUGAUCUGUGAGUCUAUGCUUCGUUCCUGCUCUAGAAAGCCAGACAUUCCUUAAGAAGUCUGUACGUCAUCUGUCACCAGUCUGCCGGAAGAUACCUCACAAAGGCUGCAUUUCGCUGUCUUCUUCUUCUCCACUGCUGUUACUUCAAGAAGCAUUCCUCUCUUGUGUACUGUUCAGAGGACCAUAAUCUAUCAUGCAGUUUGAGGGAGGGUGGGAUUCUGGUAUGAUGUCCCAACAACUGUGAUCCUGUUUUUUUUUGUAAUUGAAAUACAAGCACUGUUAUUUAUGUUCUGUAACAGCCUCAGCAUAAUUCUAUCCUUGAAAGACUAGCAGAAGCCAGUCAUCAGACUAAAAGGCUGUAUCCACUGUUUCAAAGAAGCACCUCUGUGACAUGUACAUGAAUCUGUAACACAAAAAAAGCUGUCCUCACCAUCUUGCUUCAUGAAGCUGUCACACCCUCAAUCUGUAGCCAGGUUUGCUGUCAAUAAACUUAUUUAAGCAUGGACUAAAAGAACCAAGCAUUUUACUAUCUUUGAGCAAAACAAUGAUCCCUCUGUGAAGUCUAUAAAGUCAUCAGAUGUAAUGACAAUGUGAAUAAAAGGGUGGAAGUGGAAUUUAUAUACUUUUUUAAUCCAAUAAAAGUGUGCAUGCCUUUCGAUUGAAAUAAGACUACAUUACAGAAAGAACAUGUUUAGCAAUAUGAGAUGUGAGAGUAUGUAUAUGCAUAUAUGUUUCUUAGAGAUAGAAACUAUUUGUAAAUUGUGAUUGAAAAAACCAUCCAAUGUUGAACUGUUCCACUCAGCAUGUUCCUUCCUGUUCUGUGUUCUCAGCGGUAUCUGCCUGUACUCACAAGCCUAGUUGUUGACUAUACAGAAACAGAAUUGGUGUCAUCAGUUUUCUUUUUCACAUUUACUGGUUUCUGCAUCAAUUAGUCAAACCCCAUCCAGGCAUAUCCCUCUUCACACCACCUAGUUUCUGGUUUGCUCUCUCUUUCUGCCUCUCCUUUUCUCUCUCUCUCUUGCUUGUGUCAUCCAGUGAUUUCGGUGGUGGCCGGCGACAAAAAGAAAAAAAAAAAGACCCUUGUUGCUAGGCAACAAGUUUUUGGGAAAGAAAAAAAAGGUUAUAACAGCCCAGUUCACGACUUGGGCCUGUGAUCCUCUUUUGCCUGACUGCGAGGGUUGUUGCUGGCUGAAGGAUUCACCUGUUGUCACAUGCGGACAGCUCGGUCUCGUUCACUGUGUUCCCGCCAGGGCUGCGGGUACUCGGGUAUUUAAAUCUCGUCACAGCCGCCUCCAUCCUGCAAAACCCCCAACCUCGUGCACGUGGUCAUGCUGCAGGGAGGGUGGACAUCGUGUUGUCACCGUGGCGAGCUAAACAUGCACCGCAGUGGGGGUGGCGGAGUGGGUUAAGGCCGCGUUGAAAGCUCUCAUUGCUAGAAAAUGAAAAAAAAAAAAAUAAAUAGAAAAAAAAAAUCCCUCCAUGCCAAUGGUGCAGUAGUCAGAUACAUUACACAACUUCGCCGGCGGAGCAACAGGGGGUUUACGAGCGGCCCUAGCAACAGGCAAGUGGCGACUUUAUGCAGAGCAGCCCAAGGUUGCAUCGGUAAUGAUGAUGAUGUAGGCGGGUAGUGGCGGUGGUGGUUGCAGUUAGCAGCAAGAGGCAGGCAGGGACUAGAAUAGCUUGUAGGGAGAACCCACUACAUUGCCGACUGCGGAGUAAAACCGUAGUCGAGGAACAGGCAACCCGCCUCGCCGCCAAACCGCGUUGCCAGGGCCGGAGGUUUCCCGUCGCAAGCUGCGAUUGGCUGGCUCGACGCGAAGCGGGCGGGUCAGGUCAGGUCGGGUCACGCGGAGUCGCUGACCUUGGCGCGUUUCUCGUGGUCUGUUUUGCUCGCGCGCGCGCUCUAUCUCUCUCUCUCCCCCUCCAUUUUCUCCCACUCGCUCGCUUGCGCUUUCUCUCUCUCUCUGUCUCUCGCUCUCUUUCGCCCUGACUCCCUGGUUUCUUUCAGCCACCUUUACUUCAGCAGUCUAUAUGGCGUAGCCUGGUGCGCACGUUCUAAUUACGACUUUUUACAAUACACCAGCAUCCUCGGCGUAUGUGCUUAUGUCGUCUGUCGUCUUCGAUUUUUCUCCUCCCCUUCCCUCCCCCCUUUUGACUCCUUCCGCUUGUGGACUGGCUGGCCCACACCUUACAGCACGGACAUCCCGAACGCUGGCCACUGUCCGGCAGUCUCGGCUAUCUGGCAGCCAGGAUGACCGCAGACAGAAGCCAGAUGCCGGUUGUUGUGUCCAGCAGAGGACAUGACCCUUGGAGGUUCCAGCUGAUGGUUAGCGGCUUCACUGGAUGUCAUUUCCGAUCCUGCAUUGAAACCGUGGAGAAAAUUAGAACUGUUGGAUUAAAAAAACAAACAACAAUAACAACAACAAAAACCAGCGCUGGACUGGUGGAGGUAGAUGUGGGCUUGGGAGUCGCCAAGUCGGUGGCCGAGUAGUAGACUUGAUGACCUUGUUCGGUGUCAGUGUGUUCGCCUGCUGUAGUGAUUGUGUUCGGUUUCAGUUUGAAACAAGUUUGAAAUGAUGUUGAUCAACGACUGCUACCAACAACAAAAAAAAAAGUGUCGCGGGGAAGAAAGGAACAGGAGACGCACGCUCAGAAAAAAAAAGAAAGAAAAACACUUCAAUAAAAACGAGGCUUGUGCGGUGUAGGUUGCUGACGUGCUGGAAAGUUAGCCGCUGAUGCUGCAGCAUGGUCGCGAGUGCUGUGCAUACGACUAUAGUCGAACGGGUCAUUCAGUCAGGUUCUCCCCACUGGAUGCUAACAACAUGGAGGCCGCCCGUUUUUUUGUGCCGUUCUUUCAGAUGGAUUGAUUUUUUUCAUUCUUCCUUUUGGGUUUCUUUUCUUUCUUCAUUCGUGAAGCCAGCCUACACACCAGACUCUUCGGCAAACCUUGUAUGGUAAGUUGGGAUUUUGUGUCUGCAUGCGUGCGUGGCAUCUUUGUGGUUGGUGUUGAUUUUUUUUUUUGGUGGUGUACAUUAAUGAAUGGGAUGAAGCUGUCGUGGAGUUAGCCGCCUGUACGAUUGCUGCUACAACUCCUCCUCUCCUCCUUCCACGUCCCCCGACACCCUCCGGCAGUUUUAUUUCAAAAGUGUAUCAUCGGGUUUGUGUAUCAAAAAUCGUUCUUUAUUUCUUUUAUCUGGAAGAUAGCGAACGGAUGGAUCCCCCACCCCCGCAAAACGUGCGUCUGCUGUCGGUCGGUGUAGUGGGAGGGAGGAGGAAGGUGAGGGAGGAUGCACGCGCCUGGUGUAUGUCUGUGUGUGUACAUGCGUGCAUGCGUGCGCUCGCGCGUGUCUGGAGGAGGAGGGCGGGUGGUGGGGGGGAAGCUGUGUUUGAGCUUGGCGGCCUAGUGACCUAAAAAUGUGUGCGAGCCUCAAGUCUUGGCAACUGGCUGGAAGGCUGGCUGGCUUUGCCGUGUCUGCGUCGCCCCGUGCCAACCAAUGGGUGCCAAGGCAGUUUCGAACCUACCCUCCUAUCACAAAACUCUCGGCCCUGCCACCAGCCACUGGUGGGCGCAAUCUUCAAAAACAACAGGCUUGAAAAUUUAAAAAAAAAAAAAAAAAUUACGCCACGCUUCGAGUUUUGCCUGACUGGUUUCAUGUCCACCCGAUGUAUUAAGGUUUGGGCCUACCUCAUCCCUGUCACCAAGGCGACCACGCGCGCGUACACACACACAUACACGCUAUUGAGUAACUAGAUAUAAAUUUUUAUGUCGGUUCACCCUCCCGCCAUUAUUCGUUCAAAUCGUCUGCCCGCCACAGUUGCCUAAGAGCCCUCGGUUCAUAUGGGGAUGCGUGCACUCGAACGAAAGUUUUCAUUGUUCGUCGGCGAGAGGAGGGGAGGGCACCGUGCGGCAGCCAUGUCGUUAGUUCGGUGUGUGACCGGUGGCUGUGCAUGAUCCUGCCGGCGAAGGAGGCGGCGGCAGUGGUGGUGGUGGUGGCCUGUUUGUGCCAUCGACUGAUGGCCCAGAAGCUACUUUUGUGGCUGACGUCAGCGAGCCAGUAGGAGGCUAUCACACAAGGAGACAAAUGUCGGAUCUUGCACAGAGACCGCUCUCUUUCUCUGCCUUUUUCUCGCUCUUUCUCUCUCACUCUUUCCCUAGCAGCUUCUCCAUAUGUGCAAGGAGAUCCAUUCUCUUUCUUUCCUCUCUCUUUCUCUGGCAGCUUUGCCAUAUGUUAGGUUGCAGACCUGCAAAAAUAAAAAGCAGCCUUAGAGACUAACUGCAGACAACAAUGGCAGUGUCACAUGAUGCUCUUUGCCAGACUUUGUGAUGUGUACAUUCCUGUGUGAAAGUUUGGGUUUCAAGCCUUUAAAUUUGAAAUGGCUGUGAGAUGUGAUGCAACUGGUGGUCUCCUGUCUUGUUAGGAGCACGUGAGCCUAAGAUGUGUACAUAAAAUGUGCUGAUAAGGUUCCAUGGCCAGUACUUACAACUUUAAAUGCGCUGGAUUCUACAGUGCUCUAGAUGGGAUCACAUUUGAUAACAUUCUAUUAAGCAGAAUCUAGGCCAAACCAGGUCAUGGGCCAAGCUCAAAGGAGCUAGGGAGGACAGGUUUAAACCUGGGAGUUAGUUGAAAAGGUUCCCAGAGGCAGGCUGUGGAUGUGUGGGCUAACUGUUGGAAGAGACAUGGAAGAAACCUUUUGGCGGCAAGCUGGCUCAACCAGGCCUGGCUUGUGCAUGGUUUGAGCUGCUUAGGUUUUUCUUUUGAAAGGAGAAAGGGCAUGAGAGAGAGAAUGUAUAUUUUUUGACUGUGCAAAUAUUCAUACCUCACAUAUUUAGUUCUUGGGCCAUAACCCAUGUGCCACUAAAAGAAAAUAAAAAGCAUGCCUCUAGCUGCUUUGUGUAUGGUCCAGCAAGUUGAUUCAGUUUCUGAGCACAGGUAAAUACCUUUAGGAAGUGCUGGGACGGAUUGUUUGCAGAUAAAGCUCCAAUCAUGAUUGUGAAAAUGGGUGCUAGCUUAAACUGCCUUCAGUAAGUGGCUGGGCCUGUCCUUGAAGCAAAGAUUUCAGUUCCUCAAAGGAGGAGCCAGGCAUGAAAUGGAGAAAAGAUGCAAGAACUGAGAGUAUUCGUGAGAGGGAGAAGGUUACAAACAAGUUACAGAGUGAAAGAGAACUAUUUUAUUUCAGAAAAGACAUUUGGAAGACACACAACAUGGCUGUUGUGGGCUUACCAUGCUGUGCCGCUGUAGCCUGCCUUCCCGGCAUGGGCAAGUCACGUGGGCCUCUCUGGGUGUAUUACACAGUUACUUCCUCCUUUCAUGACCUUUCUACCAGAUAGGCGGCCGCCAUGAAUUGCUGUGCUCUGCUGCACCAACCUGGCUUUUGAGGAGAUGCCUACCCCACCAGGUUGUUCAGGGAGCCCACGUGGUACCCGCAGUUGGACAUGACAGGCUGUUGGGUUAGCAAGCAGGGUACCACUCUGUCUGAGGAGGGGGUUAGAGGUGGAGAAAGUGGAUUUUCAUGGUUAGCAUAUAGUGGCCUCAAUAGGGGAAGCAUUUCACCCAUGUCACCGAGCGACCUUGUGUUAGUAUUUCUGUGCUUACUGCUUCUCCUUCUCUCCAGCUUCAGCUUGUCUGGAUUUUAGACCACUGCCACUUCAUUUACUUAGGAUUGUGCUCACUGUCAGAUGGAUAUGUUCAAAUUUGGAUAACCAUAAAUGAUGUAGUUGUGGAGCCAACGCUUGCCUGCUUACAAGUCUGCUUGAGCCGGAAUUCUGCAGCUCUACUGACUGCAUAACAUAGGACACACCUGAACAGUUCACAUAGACACAAGCUCUAAGGUACAGUCAAAGCCC